UCCAAUCGAACCCGGAGAUAGCUGGUUCUCCCCGAAAUAGCUUUAGGGCUAGCGUUGUAUAUCAUUACCGGAGGUAAAGCACUGAAUGGCCUAGGGCCCUAACGGGUACCGAAGCCUAUCAAACUAAGAAUGCCGGAUAAUGUGAGUACAGCAGUCAGACUAUGGGAGAUAAGUUUCAUGGUCAAAAGGGAAACAGCCCAGACCCACAGCUAAGGUCCCAAAUAUGAUUUAAGUGGAAAACGAUGUGGAGUUGCGAAAACAACCAGGAUGUUGGCUUAGAAGCAGCCACUCAUUCAAAGAGUGCGUAAUAGCUCACUGGUCGAGUGACUCUGCGCGGAAAAUUCAACGGGGCUAAAAUCAUAACCGAAGCUUGGGAUGCAUUAAUGCAUGGUAGGGGAGCGUUGUGUAAGGGGUGAAGUCACAGCGGAAGCGGUGGUGGACAUUACACAAGUGAGAAUGCCGGAAUGAGUAGCGCGAAUUAUGUGAGAAUCAUAAUGGCCGAAAGUCUAAGGUUUUUGGAGGAAGGUUCGUCCGCUCCAAGUUAGUCGGGAGCUAAGGUGAGGCCGAAAGGCGUAGCCGAUGCACAUACGGUAGAUAUUCCGUAACCGUCGAAGUAUUUAAGCAAAGGGACACUUUGGGAAGGUACAAGCCAGGCGUUGGUAGCCCUGGCCGUAAGGGACUGAAAAUUAGUAGGGAAGUGUACUGGAACAGAGGCGAGAAAAGCUUUGUGUAUAUACAAGACGCCCGUACCGCAAACCGACACAGGUAGAUGGGAAGAGAAUUCUAAGGCCAACGGGAGAAGGGUUGUUAAGGAACUCGGCAAGUUGACCCCGUAACUUCGGAAUAAGGGGUGCUCACGAGAGUGAGCCGCAGAGAAUAGGCCCAGGCAACUGUUUACCAAAAACACAGGUUUGUGCUAAAUCGAAAGAUGACGUAUACGAGCUGACGCCUGCCCGGUGCUGGAAGGUUAAGAGGAGAUGUGCAAGCAUUGAAUCGAAGCCCCAGUAAACGGCGGCCGUAACUAUAACGGUCCUAAGGUAGCGAAAUUCCUUGUCAGGUAAGUUCUGACCCGCACGAAUGGUGUAAUGAUUUGGGCACUGUCUCAACAGCCCGCCCGGCGAAAUUGUAGUACCGGUGAAGAUGCCGGUUACCCGCGACAAGACGGAAAGACCCCAUGGAGCUUUACUGUAGCUUAAUAUUGGAUUUUGAUAUUUCAUGUACAGAAUAGGUGGGAGACUGAGAAGCAGAGGCGUCAGCUUCUGUGGAGUCGCCUUUGGGAUACCACUCUUGAAGUGUUGAAAUUCUAACCUGCGGCCGUGAAACCGGUCGGGGGACAUUGUUAGGUGGGCAGUUUGACUGGGGCGGUCGCCUCCAAAAAGGUAUCGGAGGCGCUCAAAGGUUCGCUCAGCAUGGACGGAAACCAUGCCCUUGAGUGUAAACGCAUAAGCGAGCCUAACUGCGAGACGGACAGGUCGAGCAGUAACGAAAGUUGGAGUUAGUGAUCCGGCGGUAUGUGAGUGGAAAUGCCGUCGCUCAACGGAUAAAAGCUACCCUGGGGAUAACAGGCUGAUCUCCCCCAAGAGUCCACAUCGACGGGGAGGUUUGGCACCUCGAUGUCGGCUCAUCGCAUCCUGGGGCUGUAUUCGGUCCCAAGGGUUUGGCUGUUCGCCAAUUAAAGCGGUACGCGAGCUGGGUUCAGAACGUCGUGAGACAGUUCGGUCCCUAUCUGUCGUGGGCGCAGGAUAUUUGAAGGAAGCUGUCCCUAGUACGAGAGGACCGGGAUGGACGCACCUCUGGUGCACCAGUUGUCACGCCAGUGGCACAGCUGGGCAGCUAAGUGCGGAACGGAUAAACGCUGAAAGCAUCUAAGCAUGAAGCCGCUCCUGAGAUAAGAUAUCCCACUGAGUCAAUCAGGUAAGACCCCUUGAAGACUACAAGGUUGAUAGGCUGUAGGUGUAAGUGUCGUGAGGCAUUGAGCUUGGCAGUACUAAUCGGUCGAGGGCUUGACCAA
rnacentral:rRNA from 1 species